AAGCUUAGGAUGUAAUUUAUUACAUGGUAGCAGAGCGUAGUGUGACAUAGUUCCACGUCUCCUUACUCACUUCGGUGAUAUUGGAGACAUGGAGCUUUCUGUGAAGCCGGCGCGUGAGCGAUCCGGUGGAGAGAUCACUAGUGAGAAUGAUGACAUGAGUAGCGACAAAGAGUGUGAGAGACACUCUCGCCGAAAGUCCAAGGGUUCCUGCUUAAAGCUAAUCUGAGCAGGGUAAGCCGACCCCUAAGGCGAGGCCGAAAGGCGUAGUCGAUGGGAACCAGGUUAAUAUUCCUGGGCCAGAUGGAAGUGACGGAUCUCGAGGGUAGUUCAUCCUUAUCGGAUUGAAUGGGCUGCUUAGAGGUUCCUGGAAAUAGCUCCAUCAUUAGAUCGUACCCUAAACCGACACAGGUGGACUGGUAGAGAAUACCAAGGCGCUUGAGAGAACUAUGUUGAAGGAACUCGGCAAAAUACCUCCGUAAGUUCGCGAGAAGGAGGCCCGGUUUCUACGCAAGUGGAAGCUGGGGGCACAAACCAGGGGGUGGCGACUGUUUAUUAAAAACACAGGGCUCUGCGAAGUCGUAAGACGACGUAUAGGGUCUGACGCCUGCCCGGUGCCUGAAGGUUAAAAGGAGGGGUGAGAGCUCUGAAUUGAAGCCCAGGUAAACGGCGGCCGUAACUAUAACGGUCCUAAGGUAGCGAAAUUCCUUGUCGGGUAAGUUCCGACCUGCACGAAUGGCGUAACGACUUCCCCGCUGUCUCCAACAUAGACUCAGCGAAAUUGAAUUACCUGUCAAGAUGCAGGUUUCCCGCGGUUAGACGGAAAGACCCCGUGCACCUUUACUACAACUUCACACUGGCAUUAGGCCGAAUAUGUGCAGGAUAGGUGGUGGGCUUUGAAGCAGAGACGCUAGUCUUUGUGGAGCCUCCCUUGAGAUACCACCCUUAUUCUGCUUGAUGUCUAACCGCGGUCCGUUAUCCCGGAUCCGGGACCCUGUGUGGUGGGUAGUUUGACUGGGGCGGUCGCCUCCUAAAGCGUAAC
rnacentral:rRNA from 1 species